rnacentral:rRNA from 1 species
CUUGAACGCUGGCGGCAGGCUUAACACAUGCAAGUCGAACGAGUGGCGGACGGGUGAGUAAUGCUUGGGAAUCUAGCUUAUGGAGGGGGAUAACUACGGGAACCUGUAGCUAAUACCGCGUACCCUAGGAUGUGCCCAAUUGGGAUUCGGUAGUUGGUGAGGUAAAGGCUCACCAAGCCGACGAUCUCUAGCUGGUCUGAGAGGCUAACCAGCCACACGGGGACUGAGACACGGCCCAGACUCCUACGGUAGGCAGCAGUGGGGAAUAUUGCGCAAUGGGGGCAACCUGACGCAGCCAUGCCGAGUGAAUGAAGAAGGCCUUCGGGUUGUAAAGUUCUUUCGGUAGCGAGGCGUUAACUACAGAAGAAGCACCGGCUAACUCCGUGCCAGCAGCCGCGGUAAUAC